UGUAUAUUUACUGCAAUAAUCCACUCCAUGGCUGAUGAUCUUUUAACAGGAUGGAUAGUGUACAACCCAAAUAAUUAUACAGGAAGUAUCCAUACAUGGUUGGAGGAAUUCAGACCAUCACAGAUUAAUCAAAAUAACUAUCAUAGACCAGAGUGCUUCGUGAUAAAGCUGUCACCAAGCCUGGAUAUAAUGGGGGGCUUAUGUCGACCUUACAAUUGAAAGCAUCUGGCAUUUCGGCAACUGGGAGCAACUGCCUCUUACAACCCACUUCAACUAGUUCCAGUCAAUUGCCCAUGUUUAACUUUCUGCAACUCGCUUCAACUAGCGGCACUUAGUUGCCGUUGACAUGAGCGCUUGUACAACUGGUGUCAACUCAUUUCCAUCGAAACAACAUCUCAUGAUAAGAGACAUGUGACUUUAUAAAUAACAAAAAUGGAAGUGAACGAAGACACCCACUUUUCAAAUGUUGAUGAUGUCGACAAUAAUGCAUGAAUAGAAUUGUGGAAGGACUGACCAUGCCUUUGGGGUGCUUCUUCUAAGAGAUAGUGGUAUUCGCUGGCUUUCUCUUCGAUGUCCAACAACCCAGGAAUGUGGACUAGAUGAAAGUGAAGAUGAUGAAAGUGAAGAUGAUGAAAGUAAUUUAGAUGGAUUAAUAGAGUCAUUUGAUUGUUUACAGGC